GACGAACGCUGGCGGCGCGCUUAACACAUGCAAGUUGAGCGAGAACCCAGGCUUCGGCCUGGGGGAAAGCGGCGAACGGGUGAGCAACACGUGGGUAAUCUGCCCUCGGCAUCGGGAUAGCCCGGGGAAACCCGGCUUAAUACCGGAUGGCCCGACAGCCCUUUGGAGCGGUCGGAAAGGGUAGGUGCGGCCUCCGGCCGAGGAGGAGUCCGCGGCGGAUUAGCUUGUUGGUGAGGUAACGGCUCACCAAGGCUCCGAUCCGUAGCUGGUUUGAGAGGACGAUCAGCCACACUGGGACUGAGACACGGCCCAGACUCCUACGGGAGGCAGCAGUGGGGAAUCUUGCGCAAUGGGCGAAAGCCUGACGCAGCGACGCCGCGUGAGGGAAGAAGGCCUUCGGGUUGUAAACCUCUUUCAGGAGGGACGAAGCCACUCGGGUUAAUAGCCCAGAGGGUGACGGUACCUCCAGAAGAAGCCCCGGCUAACUACGUGCCAGCCGCCGCAGUAAGAC
rnacentral:rRNA from 1 species